GACGAACGCUGGCGGCGUGCUUAACACAUGCAAGUCGAACGAAGUGGCGAACGGGUGAGUAACGCGUAAUCAACCUGCACUUAAGAGGGGGACAACAGGUGGAAACGACUGCUAAUACCGCAUACGGAAGGAGGGGAUUGCGUUGGAUUCGCUAGUUGGAGGGGUAACGGCCCACCAAGGCGAUGAUCAGUAGCCGGGCUGAGAGGAUGACCGGCCACAUUUGGACUGAGACACGGCCCAGACUCCUACUGGAGGCAGCAGUGGGGAAUCUUCCGCAAUGGACGAAAGUCUGACGGAGCAACGCCGCGUGAGUGAUGACGGCCUUCGGGUUGUAAAGCUCUGUUAAUCGGGACGCGGUACCGGAAUAGAAAGCCACGGCUAACUACGUGCCAGCCGCCGCGGUAAUAC
rnacentral:rRNA from 1 species